GAGGGUAUAGCUCAGUGGUAGAGUGCAUGCUUAGCAUGCACGAGGUCCUGGGUUCAAUCCCCAGUACCUUCA
rnacentral:tRNA from 1 species